AGAGUCCUGAUUUGUUCGUUUAUACCGAAUGUUUUGAGCCAACACUUUUUAUCCGGGAGCCUGCGUUUUUGUAAGGCGUGCACGCCCUCUUUUUAAGAGGGACGCAUAAGUUACGAAACAAGGCACCCACCUGCGAAGCAGGUUCAAAACUUAGGAUGUAACGGCAAGAUCGGGACUCUU
rnacentral:other from 1 species